UGCAAGUCGAACGAUGAACCACUUCGGUGGGGAUUAGUGGCGAACGGGUGAGUAACACGUGGGCAAUCUGCCCUUCACUCUGGGACAAGCCCUGGAAACGGGGUCUAAUACCGGAUGAUACUUCUGCUCGCAUGGGUGGAGGUUGAAAGCUCCGGCGGUGAAGGAUGAGCCCGCGGCCUAUCAGCUUGUUGGUGAGGUAGUGGCUCACCAAGGCGACGACGGGUAGCCGGCCUGAGAGGGCGACCGGCCACACUGGGACUGAGACACGGCCCAGACUCCUACGGGAGGCAGCAGUGGGGAAUAUUGCACAAUGGGCGAAAGCCUGAUGCAGCGACGCCGCGUGAGGGAUGACGGCCUUCGGGUUGUAAACCUCUUUCAGCAGGGAAGAAGCGAAAGUGACGGUACCUGCAGAAGAAGCGCCGGCUAACUACGUGCCAGCAGCCGCGGUAAUACGUAGGGCGCAAGCGUUGUCCGGAAUUAUUGGGCGUAAAGAGCUCGUAGGCGGUCUGUCGCGUCGGAUGUGAAAGCCCGGGGCUUAACCCCGGGUCUGCAUUCGAUACGGGCAGACUAGAGUGUGGUAGGGGAGAUCGGAAUUCCUGGUGUAGCGGUGAAAUGCGCAGAUAUCAGGAGGAACACCGGUGGCGAAGGCGGAUCUCUGGGCCAUUACUGACGCUGAGGAGCGAAAGCGUGGGGAGCGAACAGGAUUAGAUACCCUGGUAGUCCACGCCGU
rnacentral:rRNA from 1 species